rnacentral:ncRNA from 1 species
CAAAGGUAUAGUCCCAACCUUACUAUCAGCUUUAACCCAACUUAUACAUGCAAGUAUCCGCAACCCCGUGAAUAUACCCUUUAUCUCCUACCAGGAAAAAAGGAGCAGGCAUCAGGCACAAAAAUUAGCCCACAACGCCUAGCCCAGCCACACCCCCAAGGGAAUGCAGCAGUAAUAAAUAUUGAGCCAUAAGUGAAAGCUUGACUCAGUCAGUGUUAAAAGAGCCGGUAAAACUCGUGCCAGCCACCGCGGUUAGACGAAUAGGCUCUAGUUGAUAUUAUAACGGCGUAAAGGGUGGUUAAGUAAACAAUUAAAUAAAGCUAAAUGACCCUUCGGCCGUCGCACGCUUCUAGAUGUCUGAAACCCUAAUACGAAAGUAGCUUUAAAUUUAUCUGACCCCACGAAAGCUGACAAACAAACUAGGAUUAGAUACCCUACUAUGCUCAGCUGUAAACUUAGAUAUCCAAAUACAACUAGAUAUCCGCCAGGGUACUACAAGCAUUAGCUUAAAACCCAAAGGACUUGACGGUGACUCAGACCCACCUAGAGGAGCCUGUUCUAGAACCGAUAACCCCCGCUAAACCUCACCACUUUUAGUUAUAUCAGCCUAUAUACCGCCGUCGCCAGCUUACCCUGUGAAGGCAACAUAGUAAGCAAAAUGGGUACAACCCAAAAUGACAGGUCAAGGUGUAGCACAUGAAGUGGAAAGAAAUGGGCUACAUUUUCUACUAUAGAAUAUUACGAAUAUUCACCAUGAAAUAAUGCUUGAAGGAGGAUUUAGAAGUAAAAGGGAAACAGAGUGUCCCUUUGAACCCGGCUCUGAGACACGUACACACCGCCCGUCACCCUCCCCUGUCAAAAAUACGCCUAAAUACCUAAUAAAAUAGUAUAGACAAGAGGAGGCAAGUCGUAACAUGGUAAGUGUACCGGAAGGUGCACUUGGAUCAACC